UAGGCAAGGGAAGCGAACGCAGUGAACUGAAACAUCUAAGUAGCUGCAGGAACAGAAAUCAACCGAGAUUCCCAAAGUAGUGGCGAACGAAAUGGGAAGAGCCUUGUACUCUUUAGCAGCAUUGUUAGCAGAACGGGAUGGAAAGCCCGGCCAUAGCAGGUGAUAGCCCUGUAUGCGAAAACAGCGUUGUGGAACUAGGUGUACGACAAGUAGGGCGGGACACGUGAAAUCCUGUCUGAAGAUGGGGGGACCAUCCUCCAAGGCUAAAUACUCGUAAUCGACCGAUAGUGAACCAGUACCGUGAGGGAAAGGCGAAAAGAACCCCGGGAGGGGAGUGAAAUAGAUCCUGAAACCGCAUGCAUACAAACAGUCGGAGCCUGGAAACGGGUGACGGCGUACCUUUUGUAUAAUGGGUCAGCGACUUACAUUCAGUGGCAAGCUUAACCGAUUAGGGAAGGCGUAGCGAAAGCGAGUCCGAAUAGGGCGUUCAGUCGCUGGGUGUAGACCCGAAACCANNUGAUCUAUCCAUGGCCAGGNUGAAGGUGCGGUAACACGNACUGGAGGNCCGAACCNACUANNGUUGNAAANNUAGNGGAUGAGCUGUGGAUAGGGGUGAAAGGCUAAACAAANNUGGAAAUAGCUGGUUCUCUCCGAAAACUAUUUAGGUAGUGCCUCGUGUCUCACCUUCGGGGGUAGAGCACUGUCAUGGUUGGGGGGUCUAUUGCUGAUUACCCCGCCAUAGCAAACUCCGAAUACCGAAGAGUGCAAUCACGGGAGACAGACAUCGGGUGCUAACGUCCGGUGUCAAGAGGGAAACAACCCAGACCGCCAGCUAAGGUCCCAAAGAUUGGCUAAGUGGGAAACGAAGUGGGAAGGCUAAAACAGUCAGGAGGUUGGCUUAGAAGCAGCCACCCUUUAAAGAAAGCGUAAUAGCUCACUGAUCGAGUCGUCCUGCGCGGAAGAUGUAACGGGGCUAAGCCAGUCACCGAAGCUGCGGACGCACGCAAGUGCGUGGUAGGAGAGCGUUCUGUAAGCCUGUGAAGGUGUCUUGUAAAGGAUGCUGGAGGUAUCAGAAGUGCGAAUGCUGACAUGAGUAGCGAUAAAGGGGGUGAAAGGCCCCCUCGCCGUAAGCCCAAGGUUUCCUACGCAACGUUCAUCGGCGUAGGGUGAGUCGGCCCCUAAGGCGAGGCAGAGAUGCGUAGCUGAUGGGAAGCAGGUUAAUAUUCCUGCACCGUCGUAUGAUGCGAUGGGGGGACGGAUCGCGGAAGGUUGUCCGGGUGUUGGAAGUCCCGGUCCCUGCAUUGGAGAAGGCGCUUAGGCAAAUCCGGGCGCGGAAUUCAAGGAUGUGGGGCGAGCGGCCUAGUGCUGCGAAGCAAUUGGAAGUGGUUCCAAGAAAAGCCUCUAAGCUUCAGUCAUACGAGACCGUACCGCAAACCGACACAGGUGGGCGAGAUGAGUAUUCUAAGGCGCUUGAGAGAACUCGGGAGAAGGAACUCGGCAAAUUGGUACCGUAACUUCGGGAUAAGGUACGCCCUUGUAGCUUGACUGGCCUGCGCCAGGAGGGUGAAGGGGUUGCAAUAAAAUGGUGGCUGCGACUGUUUAAUAAAAACACAGCACUCUGCAAACACGAAAGUGGACGUAUAGGGUGUGACGCCUGCCCGGUGCCGGAAGAUUAAAUGAUGGGGUGCAAGCUCUUGAUUGAAGUCCCGGUAAACGGCGGCCGUAACUAUAACGGUCCUAAGGUAGCGAAAUUCCUUGUCGGGUAAGUUCCGACCUGCACGAAUG
rnacentral:rRNA from 1 species